CAGAGUUCAUGCCCUAACGGGUAGACCUCCCACCCUGUGUUACUUACGUUUGUUGCUUUGGCAGGCCGCCUUCGGGCUACCGGCUUCGGCUGGUGCGUGCCUGCCAGAGGACCCCAAACUCUGAAUUUUAAUGUCGUCUGAGUACUAUAUAAUAGUUA
rnacentral:misc_RNA from 1 species